AUUCUGUCUUUAACGGUGCAAUAUUGUGGCUUACAAGACACCAGAGACUCGAUGGGGUAGUUCAGGUGAUUCUCGCGUCAUGUCUGUCACAAAGAAAACCAUGUUCGUGUUUAUUUUUUUAUUGGCUGUUGAAACCGUAAGAAGCAAUUAUUUGGCAUCAAAUACUACAAUUGAUUGUCCAGAACCCUGUGAAUGCAAGUCAGUGGAAGUUAACUGCAGUGGAAAACAACUUAAAUCAUUUCCAUGGAAAGUACCAGCUACAACGACAAUCUUAGACCUGAGUGAUAACCAUUUGGAGGAGCUACCAUCUGACUUGCUUGCCAACCUCAGCAAUCUUCAACAA